AACGAACGCUGGCGGCAUGCCUAACACAUGCAAGUCGAACGAGACCUUCGGGUCUAGUGGCGCACGGGUGCGUAACGCGUGGGGAUCUGCCCUCAGGUACGGAAUAACUCAGGGAAACUUGAGCUAAUACCGUAUAAUGACUUUGGUCCGAAGAUUUAUCGCCUGGGGAUGAGCCCGCGUCGGAUUAGCUAGUUGGUGAGGUAAAGGCUCACCAAGGCGACGAUCCGUAGCUGGUCUGAGAGGAUGAUCAGCCACACUGGGACUGAGACACGGCCCAGACUCCUACGGGAGGCAGCAGUGGGGAGUAUUGGACAAUGGGCGCAAGCCUGAUCCAGCAAUGCCGCGUGAGUGAUGAAGGCCUUAGGGUUGUAAAGCUCUUUUACCCGGGAAGAUAAUGACUGUACCGGGAGAAUAAAGCCCCGGCUAACUCCGUGCCAGCAGCCGCGGUAAUACGGAGGGGGCUAGCGUUGUUCGGAAUUACUGGGCGUAAAGCGCACGUA
rnacentral:rRNA from 1 species